UACAGAGGUCUCGAGCGUUAGGCGGAAUCACUGGGCUUAAAGCGUGUGUAGGUGGAUGCCUAAGUACCUUGUGAAAUCCCCACAGCUUAACUGUGGAACUGCUUGGUAUACUGGGUGUCUUGAGUCACUCAGGGGCGAGCGGAACAAAUGGUGGAGCGGUGAAAUGCGUAGAUAGUCAGGAAGAACACCGGUGGCGAAGGCGGCUCUCUGGGCCUUACCUGACGCUGAGGAGCGAAAGCGUGGGUAGCGAACAGG
rnacentral:rRNA from 1 species